CACCGCUGCAAGAGGGGAAGUUGCUACUGUGAUGAAUUCUGCCAUGUGGCACCAGACUGCCACCCAGACCACAGUGUCCUCUGCAACCCUGGUCAAAGCUUCUCAGAUGACCAAGAUGGUGCUGCAGAUGGUGCUGAGGAUGGAGAACCCACCAAGCCCCGCUAGGAGCCACCUAGACUGGAUGCAGAGCAUGGUUCAGUGAGUUCUCCAAACCAGCCUCCCAGGAAUGCCAUUCAACAUGGCUGUGAGGAGAAUAAAGAAGAGAGCCUGACUCCUCUCCUGAGGCCCCUUCCCCACCCUGAGCCAGCAGGAUCCACGGAGCAGAGGUCAUCUGUCCCCAGCUUGGCCCACUGAGGCCAGCAUGGCUGGGCCCAGGAUGCUUGUCUCUCAGCUCCCAUCCUGUGUACUU
rnacentral:lncRNA from 1 species